rnacentral:rRNA from 1 species
UACGAAGGGGGCUAGCGUUGUUCGGAAUUACUGGGCGUAAAGCGCACGUAGGCGGACUGAUUAGUUGGUGGUGAAAUCCCAGAGCUCAACUCUGGAACUGCCAUCAAUACUGUCAGUCUGGAGCAUAGUAGAGGUUAGUGGAAUUCCGAGUGUAGAGGUGAAAUUCGUAGAUAUUCGGAGGAACACCAGUGGCGAAGGCGACUGACUGGGCUAUUGCUGACGCUGAGGUGCGAAAGCGUGGGGAGCAAAC